AGCUGAGUGGCGCAGCGGAAGCGCGCCGGGCUCAUAACCCGGAGGGUACGUGACACUCAAUCAUCUACAGGAUCGUCCACUAACAGCAAUACAGACCUACGAUCGAAACGUAGCUCAGCUA